GAUGAACGCUGGCGGCGUGCUUACCCUUUGCAAGUCGAACGAACCUUCGGGUUAGUGGCGGACGGGUGAGUAACGCGUGAGAAUCUGCCCUCAGGAGGGGGAUAACGGCUGGAAACGGCCGCUAAUACCCCAUAUGCCGAGAGGUGAAAUGAAUUUCGCCUGAGGAUGAGCUCGCGUCUGAUUAGCUAGUUGGUGGGGUAAAGGCCUACCAAGGCAUCGAUCAGUAGCUGGUCUGAGAGGAUGAUCAGCCACACUGGGACUGAGACACGGCCCAAACUCCUACGGGAGGCAGCAGUGGGGAAUUUUCCGCAAUGGGCGCAAGCCUGACGGAGCAACGCCGCGUGAGGGAUGAAGGCCUCUGGGCUGUAAACCUCUUUUAUCAAGGAAGAAAAUCUGACGGUACUUGAUGAAUAAGCCACGGCUAAUUCCGUG
rnacentral:rRNA from 1 species